rnacentral:rRNA from 1 species
GACGAACGCUGGCGGCGUGCUUAACACAUGCAAGUCGAACGGAAAGGCCCUGCUUUUGUGGGGUGCUCGAGUGGCGAACGGGUGAGUAACACGUGAGUAACCUGCCCUUGACUUUGGGAUAACUUCAGGAAACUGGGGCUAAUACCGGAUAGGAGCUCCUGCUGCAUGGGGGGGGUUGGAAAGUUUCGGCGGUUGGGGAUGGACUCGCGGCUUAUCAGCUUGUUGGUGGGGUAGUGGCUUACCAAGGCUUUGACGGGUAGCCGGCCUGAGAGGGUGACCGGCCACCUUGGGACUGAGAUGCGGCCGAGACUCCUACGGGAGGCAGCAGUGGGGAAUAUUGCACAAUGGGCGGAAGCCUGAUGCAGCAACGCCGCGUGCGGGAUGACGGCCUUCGGGUUGUAAACCGCUUUCGCCUGUGACGAAGCGUGAGUGACGGUAAUGGGUAAAGAAGCACCGGCUAACUACGUG